UACAGUCACAUCACGUUGGAACAUCGGUUCCCGUACGAUCACCGAUGUUAAGCAACGUUGAGCUUGGUUAAUUUCUGGAUGGGUGACCGCCUGGGAAUAGCAGAUGCUGUAA